rnacentral:lncRNA from 1 species
CUGUGCGCUGCUCUUGUGGGCUGUGGUGUCUGGAGUUAUGUUCUUUGGAUAGAGUGGUGUGGGGACCACAGGUGACCUUUCUGUCUUCCUCUCUCCUGAGGGUCCCAGCAGAGCACUGGUGUGAGUAUCUUGGGGAGGUUUGAUCUUUAACUGACAAGGGGAAUGUGCUGGUGUGGGAGGAGGAGUUGUUCUGGUUUUGAUUACUUGUGCUGAGUCUGUGUUCCAGAGGUUCCCUAUGAGAAGCAGUGGUAUUGCCAAUGAGGUGAUGUGAGGGUGUGGUAGUGAGGGUUGUGGUAGGCUCCAGUUGUUCUCUUAGAGUGUGGAUUCUGGUGUCUCUGUGUUGUAGUAAUUCUAUGACUGCUGACAAGUCCCUUUGUAGCUCCUCCCUGAUGUCAGCUACCUCUCUCCUCAUGAUGCUCUCGACCAUUGACAGUUUCUCUCUUAGCUCCUCCUUAUCCUGCCUCAGAACCACAAUGAAAAUGUAAAGGUAGAGAACACACAGAAGGCUGUUGUAUAAGAGAGGGAGAAGUGUCUAUCCAUGUAUACGGCUGCCCCACGAUGAGGACAACGAAACCGGGCUCAAGGAAUGAACAGUUAAGCCCAUGUCCUGGAUCUCCCAUCAUAAUAACCAAGGAGCAACAUUUUGGAGCAAACUUUAUUAGUCAAGGAAGAAGCACACAAACGCUUUAUUGUAAAACGGAUUCAAUACUGUCAUAAUCUUCGUCGUCUGAAGAGGAGAAAUCAUCGGACCAAUAUGCAGCGGGUAUAUUGCUCAUCUUCGUAUUUAUUGAAGCAGGGUCAUUCGAGUAGGCAGGAUUUCAUGCAAAGACACCCUGCCAAGAAGGCCAGCCCAAGGCGUCUCAGGGCUCAACCUCUUUGUUUUCGUUCAAUGUGAAAACACUACACAAGAAGUGGGGCAGCAUAGGGUCGCCCCGACCUACGGAUUCCUGCUUUAAACUGUAAAUUAUUACUUUUUGUGUCAUCCUCAAUGAUUUUAAAUGCAUUAUGUUCACAUAUGUGGUUGUAUUUUAAAUUGGCAAAUACAUCAAAUGAAAAUCAGAACAAAUGUAAG